rnacentral:misc_RNA from 1 species
AAGUCGUAACAAGGUAACCGUAGGUGAACCUGCGGUUGGAUCAUUACAAAAUUCCAAUCAAUGUUGGGAGGUCUUUUGUUCCCUGUUUUCAAAAAUGGGAAAUGAAAUUCCACCCGGCGACCACCUUUUGUGAAUUGUAAAAUAACAAUGGAAGAGCCUAACAAACUCGACCAUUUUCCAUAUACCGUCGCCGUUUCCGUCUGAUUGGGAUUAUUAAAAGGGUUUUUAAUUUAAACCCUCUAACAUUCCAUUAGCGGAAUGAGACGGGAAAGGAAUAAAACCAUAAUUAACCAUGUAUUUCCAAUAGUCUUAAAAAACAUUUCAAUCAUUUUAAUGAAUGAACAACUUUUGACAACGGAUCUCUUGGCUCUC